GUAGUAUUCCCUCCGUCCCAAAAUUGUUAUCUUACAUUUGUUUAGAUACGGAUGUAUCUAACACUAAAAUGUAACUAGAUACAUCCGUAUUUAGACAAAUUUAAGACAAGAAUUUUGAGAUGGAGGGAGUACAAA
rfam:Triticum aestivum genome assembly, contig: Triticum_aestivum_CS42_TGACv1_scaffold_594070_7BS